UCUACGGGAGGCAGCAGUGGGGAAUAUGCGCAUGGCGGAAGCUGACGCAGCGACGCGCGUGGGGGAUGACGGCUUCGGGUGUAAACUCUUUCAGCAGGGACGAAGCCGCAAGGUGACGGUACUGCAGAAGAAGCACCGGCCCAACUACGUGCCAGCAGCCGCGGUAAUACGUAGGGUGCAAGCGUUGUCCGGAAUUAUUGGGCGUAAAGAGCUCGUAGGCGGUUUGUUGCGUCGGCUGUGAAAUCCCGAGGCUCAACCUCGGGUCUGCAGUCGAUACGAGCAAACUAGAGUGUUGCAGGGGAGACUGGAAUUCCUGGUGUAGCGGUGAAAUGCGCAGAUAUCAGGAGGAACACCGGUGGCGAAGGCGGGUCUCUGGGCAACAACUGACGCUGAGGAGCGAAAGCGUGGGGAGCGAACAGGAUUAGAUACCCUGGUAGUCCACGCCGUAAACGUUGGGCGCUAGGUGUGGGGCUCAUUCCACGAGUUCCGUGCCGCAGCUAACGCAUUAAGCGCCCCGCCUGGGGAGUACGGCCGCAAGGCUAAAACUCAAAGGAAUUGACGGGGGCCCGCACAAGCGGCGGAGCAUUUUGCUUAAUUCGAUGCAACGCGAAGAACCUUACCUAGGCUUGACAUGCACGGAAAUCCUCCAGAGAUGGGGGGUCCGUAAGGGCCGUGCACAGGUGGUGCAUGGUUGUCGUCAGCUCGUGUCGUGAGAUGUUGGGUUAAGUCCCGCAACGAGCGCAACCCUCGUCCUAUGUUGCCAGCACGUCAUGGUGGGGACUCAUAGGAGACUGCCGGGGUCAACUCGGAGGAAGGUGGGGAUGACGUCAAAUCAUCAUGCCCCUUAUGUCUAGGGCUGCAAACAUGCUACAAUGGCCGGUACAAAGGGCUGCGAUACCGCGAGGUGGAGCGAAUCCCAAAAAGCCGGUCUCAGUUCGGAUUGGGGUCUGCAACUCGACCCCAUGAAGUUGGAGUCGCUAGUAAUCGCAGAUCAGCAACGCCGCGGUGAAUACGUUCCCGGG
rnacentral:rRNA from 1 species